UCCCUGGUGGUCCAGUGGUUAAGACUCAGUCUUUCACUGCUGCAGACCUGGGUUCGAUCCCUGGCCAGGGAA
rnacentral:tRNA from 1 species